rnacentral:rRNA from 1 species
CGGGGGGCUCCAGCAGUGGGGAAUAUUGCACAAUGGAGGAAACUCUGAUGCAGCAACGCCGCGUGGAGGAUGACACUUUUCGGAGCGUAAACUCCUUUUAUAUAGGAAGAAGAUGACGGUACUAUAUGAAUAAGCGCCGGCUAACUCCGUGCCAGCAGCCGCGGUAAUACGGAGGGCGCAAGCGUUACUCGGAAUCACUGGGCGUAAAGAGCGUGUAGGCGGAUUAAAAAGUCAGAAGUGAAAUCCUAUAGCUUAACUAUAGAACUGCUUCUGAAACUCUUAAUCUAGAAUAUGGGAGAGGUAGAUGGAAUUUCUGGUGUAGGGGUAAAAUCCGUAGAGAUCAGAAGGAAUACCGAUUGCGAAGGCGAUCUACUAGAACAUUAUUGACGCUGAGACGCGAAAGCGUGGGGAGCAAACAGGAUUAGAUACCCGUGUAGUC